rnacentral:tRNA from 1 species
GGAAAACAUCGGAGAAGCAGAGACAGGAGCUGCCGUUACAGUGCGAACCUCAAACGUGUUCUUGGUCAUCCCGGUGAGGCCGUAGUACGAGGUUCCCGUGGCGAUGGAGCAGACGCACAUUUCCCCGAUCUCAUCUGUCUGACACAGCUGAGGUACUCCAUCAGGCUUUACCACGCACACCAGGCCUGGAAAGAUCACAACUUACAAUGAGCACAAAAACACAACUCAAACCAUAUGUACAGGGCCACACAAUAUGAGAAACUAAUAUUGGAUAACAGUCUUGACUAAGUUAAGAAUAUCCUUAUAUUUUACUAAACCACUUCAAAAGUCCUGACUGAAACUUCAUUUUUUGUGGAUUUUAAAGUUUCCAUUUGAAUCAAUUAAUUGGUUUGGCAAUGUUGAAAAAGUGGGCCAUUAUCUAAAUGGUUGGGAGACUACAUUUAUUUUGAUUUUUCCCCUGUUUCAUGUUUUAUUUGUUGUUGUACUUAUGUUUAUUGAUAUUUUAAGGACAAAGCUUUAUUGUCAUUUAUAGGAGAGUUAGUUUCUGUGGUUUUGAAAGGGUUGAAUAAUAUCAUUACUAAUUAACGUGACAGAAUUCCCAGUUUGUGAGCGCACCUUCACUGACAAACAACGGCAAUAAUUAAAACCCAUCUGAUUCUGGUAAUUCAGUGACCUUUGCACAACUGUGUCUUUAAUCUUUCUCACUUGUUGCCAAUAAGGCGCUCCACCCCCACUCUCCUCUCUUCCCCGGCCUCUCUCCUCUGCCCCGGGCCGCUCCCCUUUCCCCUCCCCCAGAGCCACAGUCUCACAACACGCUUUGAACGGAGACGUUACAAACUGUAAACACGGCAGCAACACUUGAGGGAGCAAAAUGUAUUUGUCUUUUACUUACAUUACAAGUUAAACAGGCAAUUAACGUUUGACUGGUCUUUUCCGAAAGCUCCGUGUGUUAUUGUACUACAAUUGUCUUACUAUUUUGUAUAAGAACACAUUCACUCACCCACUUUCACUGAUGUAGGAAUGAACCUUCACUUCAAACUAGGCAAAGCUAUAAAAUCUCCUUAAAGACUCCAGUGGGUGAAAAAAGUUGCCUCCCCGUCGGGGAAUCGAACCCCGGUCUCCCGCGUGACAGGCGGGGAUACUCACCACUAUACUAACGAGGAAGAGCACGC